AGGCUAGCGAGUUGACUGAGGGCCAAGAGCAAGGAUGAGAAAAGGGCAGCAAAUGUGAGAGACAGGUCUCCCAUGAAGGGCUGAGGUGGCUCACGAAGGGAAGAGAGGCCAAUCCAUGUUUCCUGGAGCAGGUGCUGAGAUGGAAUGUGAGGUGCAAGAUGUUUAUUAGGGAUCACACCUGUGGAAGGAAGGAGAAAAAAUCAACUCUGGUGGAGGAAGAAGUUGAAUGGUGAUGUUGGCACAGUGAAACCUUGGACACCCCAGUGGGGCGCUCUGGAGAAGGCAUUGCCCUUCAGAGUUGUCUCAUGUUGGGCCAAAAUGGCUGACUUUGAUGUCUCUGCCUCGGUCACCAGGCCUGGACUGCCUGGGAAGGACGUGACCUUGGUUUUCAGCAGACUUUGCAGGACUAGAGAGCUGAAGGCUGCCGGCUGACCAUGCUCCCCUCGUCUGGGCAGCACAGGCUCCCUGGAACAGGACCUGGAGGCUGCUGUCAUCCCACAGUCCCCUCCACCGCUCUGCAGCUGCCCCCGGACAGAGGGCGAGUUGGUUUAAACAACGGCACGUUAAUGGCUGUGAAGUGGUGGGCUCAGUAGGAUGUGAAAGAAACCUACUCAAUUUGUAUUAAUGCUCUUAACCUCUGCUGAGGGUUUCCUCUUGGACUGCAG
rnacentral:lncRNA from 1 species